UUUUAAAAAAUAACAAUCAAGGUUAAUUAGUCUUUUUACACAAAUAUCUAUAUAUACAUUUUUGCAGCCAUUUUGUGAAAUAAAUCCUGUAGUUGGGACUUAUUUACAAUGGCUGCCACUGAAUUUUAAUGUUUGUUUUUGAUAAUUAAAAAAAAAUCUUCGAAAUAAAUAUUUGACAUUUAACAAUCUUCCCUAAAUCUCUCCACAUCAGUUACUAAAAUAAAACUUUCAAAAUAUUUACUAUCAUUUAAUUACUUCAAAAUUAUCAUUUUUGAUAUUGCUUUUCUCCAUGACUAUAACAAUUCGAUUAUAAUCAUCAAAUCGCAGAGAUAUUUGAUAGCAUUUAAUUACUACAAAAUUACAAAAUAUUUAGAUAAUAAUUCAUAAACAUAUCAUAAAUAAGAUCAACAUUAAUAAAAUAAAUAUUUUUUUUACGGGACGGGUUGGCGGGACGGGUUUGGCAGGAUGUUACUUAAUAACAAUUGUAAACUAUAAAAUAAAAAUAUUUUAUACAUAGAUACAAUUUGCAAACUUUUAUGUAUACUAACUUCAAAAAAUAAAUUGUUUCCGCGGUGUACCGCGAGUUAAAAUCUAGUGAGUUAGUAUAGUUCUAGACUGCGACGAGAGUCAUUUUAGUUAAUUAUGCUAAGAUUUAAGUCAUAAUAGGUAAAUCUCAGUAUAUAUAUACGUGUAUUUUUGGAUAAACUCUUACCUGUCGUAACGACACAAAAAGAAUACGCGCCAUUAAAUAUAAAGAUGUAUAUUUCAAAGAAAUUAUAU
rnacentral:sRNA from 1 species